rnacentral:rRNA from 1 species
GACGAACGCUGGCGGCGUGCUUAACACAUGCCAGUCGAACGAAGUGGCGAACGGGUGAGUAACGCGUAAUCAACCUGCCCUUCAGAGGGGGAACACAGUUGGCAACGACUGCUAAUACCGCAUACUGAAGGAGGGGAUUGCGUCUGAUUCGCUAGUUGGAGGGGUAACGGCCCACCAAGGCGAUGCUCAGUAGCCGGACUGAGAGGAUGAACGGCAACAUUGGGACGGAGACACGGCCCAGACGCCUACGGGAGGCAGCAGUGGGGAGUAUUCCGAAAUGGACGAAAGUCUGACGGAGCAACGCCGCGUGAGUGAUGACGGCCUUCGGGUUGUAAAGCUCUGUUACUCGAGACGCGGUACCGGAAUGGAAAGCCACGGCUAACUACAUGCCAGCAGCCGCGGUAAUAG